rnacentral:rRNA from 1 species
GAACGCUGGCGGCAUGCCUUACACAUGCAAGUCGAACGGCAGCACGGGAGCAAUCCUGGUGGCGAGUGGCGAACGGGUGAGUAAUAUAUCGGAACGUGCCCAGUCGUGGGGGAUAACGCAGCGAAAGUUGUGCUAAUACCGCAUACGAUCUAUGGAUGAAAGCGGGGGAUCGCAAGACCUCGCGCGAUUGGAGCGGCCGAUAUCAGAUUAGGUUGUUGGUUAGGUAAAAGCUCACCAAGCCUGCGAUCUGUAGCUGGUCUGAGAGGACGACCAGCCACACUGGAACUGAGACACGGUCCAGACUCCUACGGGAGGCAGCAGUGGGGAAUUUUGGACAAUGGACGAAAGUCUGAUCCAGCAAUGCCGCGUGCAGGACGAAGGCCUUCGGGUUGUAAAGCUCUUUCGGCUGGGAAGAAAUCGCAUCUCCUAAUACGGGGUGUGGAUGACGGUACCAGCAUAAGAAGCACCGGCUAACUACGUG